CCGGCGGAAAUAGUCAUCCGCCGGUAAUAACUAUAUAAUUAAUAUUAUAUUAAAUAAAUAAAAAAAAAAUUAUUUUAAAUUUAUUAUUACCGGCGGGUUUGUAUUAAUACCGGCGGAAUCCCGCCUCGAAAAAAGUGGGCGGGAUUUUUGCCGCCCAAUUUUUUGAAAUUAGUUUUACCGGCGGAUUAAUACCGGCGGGACCCGCCGGUAUUAAUCUGGGAUUCUGACCGUUUUUAUUAAUACCGGCGGAACCCAAUUAAUACCGGCGGGUCCCGCCGGUAUUAAAAAUCUAUAUAAACCCCUCCCCAUUUCAGAAUACCAUUUUUUCCAUUUUCACUCCCCCCCACCUUCUCCAUUCCACCUCCCCUCUCCGUUUUCAAACACAAUCCGCCCCGUUCUCCGGCAUCAUUUCCCCGACACCGCCAGUGCGCCGCCCGUCUACCACCGCCAGUGCAUCGUUUGGGAUAAAUAAUCUGUGGGGAAGAAAUUUCUGAGUAAAACGCCGGGAUCGGUUGGUGUACUAAAUAUUUGGAGAUGACAAUCGACAAGUCUUGGACCACAGCAACAACCUGUGUAUGGUCAAAUGGGAGGAUCUCCACAACAGCCUAUGUAUGGAGGCUUUUUCAGUGCUCAGAGUCAGCAACAACAGCAACAACCAAUUUUGGUUCGCCCCCACCCUCGACAAUA